rnacentral:rRNA from 1 species
GAUGAACGCUGACAGAAUGCUUAACACAUGCAAGUCUUUGGCGAAGCUGUGCUCGCACAGCCUAGCCAAGGCGGACGGGUGAGUAACGCGUAAGGAACUUGCCCUGCAGUCAGGGAUAACAGACGGAAACGACUGAUAAGACCUGGUAAAGUCAGGCGGACUCAUGUCCAGCCUGAUGAAAAGAGAUGCUGCAGGAGAGCCUUGCGUCCUAUUAGCUUGUUGGUGGGGUAACGGCCCACCAAGGCGAUGAUAGGUAGCCGGCCUGAGAGGGUGGACGGCCACAAGGGGACUGAGAUACGGCCCUGACUCCUACGGGAGGCAGCAGUGGGGAAUAUUGGACAAUGGGGGCAACCCUGAUCCAGCAAUUCUGUGUGCACGAUGAAGGUUUUCGGAUUGUAAAGUGCUUUCAGCAGGGAAGAAAAAAAUGACGGUACCUGCAGAAGAAGCGACGGCUAAAUACGUG